rnacentral:rRNA from 1 species
GAUGAACGCUGGCGGCGUGCCUAAUACAUGCAAGUCGAGCGAACAGACGAGGAGCUUGCUCCUCUGACGUUAGCGGCGGACGGGUGAGUAACACGUGGAUAACCUACCUAUAAGACUGGGAUAACUUCGGGAAACCGGAGCUAAUACCGGAUAAUAUAUUGAACCGCAUGGUUCAAUAGUGAAAGACGGUUUUGCUGUCACUUAUAGAUGGAUCCGCGCCGCAUUAGCUAGUUGGUAAGGUAACGGCUUGCCAAGGCAACGAUGCGUAGCCGACCUGAGGGGGUGAUCGGCCACACUGGAACUGAGACACGGUCCAGACUCCUACGGGAGGCAGCAGUAGGGAAUCUUCCGCAAUGGGCGAAAGCCUGACGGAGCAACGCCGCGUGAGUGAUGAAGGUCUUCGGAUCGUAAAACUCUGUUAUUAGGGAAGAACAAAUGUGUAAGUAACUAUGCACGUCUUGACGGUACCUAAUCAGAAAGCCACGGCUAACUACGUG